GGCUCUGUGGUCUAGGAGUAUGAUUCCUGCUUUGGGUGCAGGAGGUCCCUGGUUCAAAUCCCGGCUGAGCCC
rnacentral:tRNA from 1 species